rnacentral:lncRNA from 1 species
ACUAUAUUGUGAUUGUCUUGUUGAGAUAUGAUCAUGUACAUGUUGAUGGUUGUUGUUUAUGCUUCAAGAUGUUAAUUUAGGGUGAUUCUCAUGAAGUAUGUGUGCUUGUAGUAAAAACCCAUGAAAUUGGGUGGUUUAAGAUGACUAAAUUAUUAAGAACACCUAUGCCAUAAAGUGUGCAUGCAAGGUGUUCGACGAAAUGCCUAGAAUAGGCAUAAUCAUGUUUUCAUGAUUUAAGAGUGCUCAAUUAACAAGUCCUUACUCCAUGUUUUAUGAUUUCACGUGAAUUCCAUGUUGUGUGAAUAAAGUUCGAAUCUUUACAUGUUGUUCAUGAUACCAUGAUAUUUUGUGAAUUCAAUUGGUGGAAUUGAGUUGAAUUAUGGUGUUAUGGUGUAU